UGCAUCGGGCGAGAUUCGAACUCGAGGCGCCCGCGUGGCAGGAGAGCAUCUACCACUAAACCACUGACGC